rnacentral:rRNA from 1 species
CGCCAUUCGCCCUUCGGGGUGCACCAGGCGCGAAAACUUUACAAUGCGGGAAACCGUGAUAAGGGGACACCGAGUGCCAGCAUCAUAUGCUGGCUGUCCAGGUGUGUAAAAUACACCUGUUAGCAAGGGCCGGGCAAGACCGGUGCCAGCCGCCGCGGUAACACCGGCGGCCCGAGUGGUGAUCGUGAUUAUUGGGUCUAAAGGGUCCGUAGCCGGUUUGGUCAGUCCUCCGGGAAAUCUGAUAGCUUAACUAUUAGGCUUUCGGAGGAUACUGCCAGACUUGGAACCGGGAGAGGUAAGAGGUACUACAGGGGUAGGAGUGAAAUCUUGUAAUCCCUGUGGGACCACCUGUGGCGAAGGCGUCUUACCAGAACGGGUUCGACGGUGAGGGACGAAAGCUGGGGGCACGAACCGGAUUAGAUACCCGGGUAGUCCCAGCCGUAAACGAUGCUCGCUAGGUGUCAGGCAUGGCGCGACCGUGUCUGGUGCCGCAGGGAAGCCGUGAAGCGAGCCACCUGGGAAGUACGGCCGCAAGGCUGAAACUUAAAGGAAUUGGCGGGGGAGCAC